GAAAUUACUAUAUGUACCAGAACAUGUACGACGCGGACCCGACAUCUAAGUACAAGGGCGCGCUGGCCAUGGGCGUGCCGGGGGAGCUCGCCGUCCUUCCUCCAGCAGCGCCGGUGGCCACGCUCCCUCCUGGUGGGCUACUUCACGCAGCGAUGCCGGGUAGCCAUGUUUCCAGGGACCAGCCCCACCGCGGGCUGCAACAGCCAGCUCGCCUUCGUCCCGUUGCCCGGGCCUUCCCUGCUCGGCUGCACGUCUCGCCGUCCGCUCAGCUCCUUCAUCGUCCCUGCUGACGGUGACGCUGCUGCCGCGGCCGUCGUCGACCGUUCCGUGCCGCUCGCCACGCGCGGCGGGCUCCUUCUCGUUCGCCUCUACCCAAGCGACGACGACCUGGAGCCCGACGUCGUCCGCCUCGUGUCAGACUCGACAGAGCUCUAGCUACAGCGGACUGGUGUGCGAGAUACCCUAUGGCACAGGUACAACACCUAUCGGCUGCUGCCUCAGACCACUCGCCAAUCAUGUUGCAAUAUGAGCAGCGGGUGGAGCAGCGGCGGACGCCCCGUCUGUUCAGAUAUGAGGCUAUGUGGGAGGCGCAUGAUGCGUUUUCUCCCAUGGUGGGGCAGGAAUGGAAGGAAAAUCCCUCGGCCACGAUGAAUGACUUGGAAGGGAAGCUUCACGGCCUCUCUGCAUCUUUGUCAGACUGGGGGCGGAAUACUUUCGGACAUGUCCGAAAGGAAUUGAAAGUACUCAAGGGGGUGCUAGCGGCACUGCGUGGGGAACCAGACCGCGUCGGGCCGGAUCACCGUGAGCUGAAGAUUGUGGAACGCAUUGUGGAGCUACACCAUCACGAGGAGACAAUGUGGAAACAACGAUCACGAGUUCAGUGGCUAUCGGAGGGGGACCGCAAUACGAGAUUCUUCCAUAUGCGGGCUUGCAAGCGUAAGAAGAGAAACCGGAUCUCGAGACUGCGCCGGCCAGACGGCACCGUCACCGAAGAUCACUCCGAGCUUUGCCAACUGGCGAGGGGUUUCUAUGAUGAUCUAUACACCUCGGAGCCUAUCUCAGGGGUGGCAGAGGUACUGGAGUCAGUGCAGCCAACUGUGACCCAAGCGAUGAAUACCCAGCUUCUUAUGCCGUUUGAGGAAGGGGAAGUAAAGUCUGCUUUGUUCCAAAUGUUCCCGCUCAAAGCGCCAGGCCCUGAUGGCUUUCCCGCAUAGUUCUUCCAAAAGCAUUGGGAUUUGUGUGGUGAGGAAGUGACAAAGGCGGUUCUACGGGUGUUGCGUGCUGAGGACAGCCUGGAAGGGAUCAAUAAGACUUUCAUUGUCUUGAUCCCAAAAGUGGCCUCUCCGGAGGAGCUAGGUCAGUUUAGACCUAACAUUUAUGCAAUGUGAUAUACAAAAUUGCAUCCAAAGUUUUGGCAAACCGUCUCAAAGAAAUCCUGCCAGAGAUUAUCUCAGAGGAACAGUCGGCUUUCGUCCCAGGAAGGCUGAUUACUGAUAACAUAAUCGCGGCGUACGAGUGUCUCCAUUUUAUGAAGAGGAAUGGGGCGCAAUGCCAGGUUCUACUGCUAAUGUCGCAUUGAGAGGACGCUACCAACCUCCCCGCUGCUAGUGUCCUGCUGCUCAGCCCAGCCGUGGACGACCUUUACCAGAUAUUUUUCAAUGUUUACCGUGUUCAGCGAGGCAUGAAGUUUGAUCUCUGCCCAAUGUGGUUGGUGGUACAACCCAAGACGGCGGCAGGUACCGCCAGGGACGGAUGAGAAGGACAACGACCUUCUGCAGGUUGCAUCCAUCUAAACCCGGCCAUGGCACGAGAGUCAUUCCCUCUUUGAGUUAUUUAAGUUUCAAAGAUUGAAGGAAGCAAUGGACAGGGAACAUGUGAAGCUCAUCUUGUGCUCGGAAAAUUGAAGCAGCACAGUUAGCACCAAACUGGAAGUUUCAGUCAAGCUAGGCAACAACCCCACAUAUGCUCGUUGGAUCCUGAAGUUGCGCAUUUAAGGAAGUUGAUGAAGCUCGGCUUCCGAGCCGGUGGCAACAUCCGGGGCAAGGAGAGGGCUGACUGGAGGCAUGGAAGUCACUGAAACAGCUGUGGAGUUACUACAGAGAAAAUAACCAUGGUGCAAAAACUUUAUAAGAUAUUGGGCGUUCUUCCUCAGGCAGUGUAUAAAGCAGCUGCAUGGGCGAGCUGAUGUGGGAGGUGGAGAGGUUGAGCAGCAGAAGCUUCAUAUUUCCAAGAUUCUGGAAACGCAAGCCAAAGCUAAAUGCCGAGAUAAUGGCCUUGAGGCAUUCUCUGUUGUCGUCAACAAUAUCUGACACACUUGAAGCCUAAGAAAACAAAGAUAUUGUUGGCCAUACUUUUGUUAUUCUAUUUGCCUUACAAGUUACAAUUGGGCAGUAUGUGUUGGUACAGAAGCACCUCUUUUAUGUCUGUUCUGGUCCAUUCUACAUACUUCGGUCAUCAGACAACACAGAUGCUCCUUCAUGCAUCAUAUCCUUUCCGGUAAAUGCAGGAAAUCAAUCCAAAUUAGCCCAGUAUGGUGUCUGCACUAUCAUGAAUGAAGGUAUAUGUUCUUCUCUAAUAACCCAGCUUCGACUAUCUCGGCGAGUUGACCACGCUGCAACCAUGACGCUUGUAAUCGGCUACAGCAUCUCCAGUGAGUUACCAUGUGGCUCCCAUGUCGUAUACGCCUUUGAUCAUGUGGCUCCCAUGUGGUAUGUAAUACCAUGGCUGUACUUAUGCUCUCGCCACCUAGUUUUAUAUUAUUAGAGGCCCUGCUGUAGUAUUUCUGGUAAUUGAAGUUUUCAUGUUAAUGGUAUGAUUUUUCUGUUAUUAUGCUGCCAAUACCAAGUAUUGUGUUGGUAUUGGGUUGUAUUGAUCUUUGAUUAGAGAUCAUUCUAUGGUUGGACAUGCUUCGGCUUAUAAUUUUAGCCAGUGGGAUUGUUGAUCCUGCUAUUUUCUUCGAGUAGUUAAUCCUGCUAUUUUCUUCCAGUAGUUAAUCCUUCUCCCCUGUAUUUUUGCAUUCUGCUUUGUAAGUAUCAGCUCAAGCCUCAAGCUUGAUUAGAGCAAGCACUAUGCACAGAUACAAAUGAUAUCUACAUGUACUGUAUGCCUUACUCUUUCUUGGUAGUUGCAGUAUUUAGUUCGUAUAGAAUCUUGAUUCUUUCAUAUUUAUUUCUGGAUUGAAAACUGUGAUGUUUACCACAUAUAUAGGUGAUAAACAUUUGAAGAAAACAAAGAUGCUAUGUAUCUAAUAGAACUGGUGGCGAGUGGCGACUAGUGUCAUUUUGUCUUGCUAGGUAUCUAAGAGAAUUGAAGUAUCUAGCUGAUUGAAAUUGUUUCAGUCUUGGUGCGGAAGUGAUGAUACUGACUAUGUUUAUUAGUGUCUAGUUUGGAAGUUGAGAACCUAUCCUGACUGAUGAGCAACGUCAGGUUGUGUUGAUGUUUAAUUGCAUCAGUCAGUCCAAUUUUUUCCUGAGGGUGUAUCGAGCGUCUGAAAUGGUGUAAGUUGCUGCCUUUGGGUGUGAGCAAGAGUCUGCACGGGGAAGCAACAUCUGUCAGUGGUGUGCACGAAUAGUAUUUGCGGUCAUUCUAUGAGAAAUAUUGCACAAUGAAUACUAUUUUAGUAACUACUGUGCAUGUACCAGUUAUGUGUGUCUAGCCAAUUUUUUUCUAGCUCAUGGUACAAUCUGCCUGCAUAUUGUCAGUCCAAUUACUUUUACAUUCUUCUAUUUACCGGUGCUCAUGGAAUUUUUGGCUUGCAAACUAGAAUCUGAAGUAUAAUGAAAGCUGUGGGUGAAGUAAAGGAACAAAGGCUACUGCCAUUGUUACAAUCCAAAGCUUAAUCCUUUCUAUGGUUGAUCCAUUGCUGCUAGAGCCGGUGCAGUUUGCACUCCCCAUAUAUAAUCCGUGUAUUAGCUAGGCCAUCAUACUAUGAAAAAGCACAAGAAGGUGUUAGGUGGAUGCCUGUGUGUGUGCAUGGGGUCCUUGCUAGUGAGGACAAUGCAGCGGACAGAGACAAGGGAGUGGCACUCGACGCCACCGCAUUGGCCAGUUUCUUCUUUAGAUGGCCAUUGCGUUUGUUGCUGUAAUUUUGUCGGUGGAGAAGUUCAGCAGCUGUAACAGCUUGGGUGCAUCCUUGAGUCAUUUGACCUGCUUGAUUAUCUGUUUAGAAGUAGUGAGAGUUUGCCGGAUUGUAUUCUUUGAAGACUAGCACGUGCUUUACUCGUGAUUGGUAUGUAAAUAAAGAAGCAGGCUCUUUUUUGCAUUUGAACCUUCUUAUUAGAUCUGUGAGAUAAAAACUAGUGUACUCGUCAUAUGCCUCGCUGCUAAUUUAUAGUACAAUACAUGUACUCUCCUUGUUUGUAAAUCUUCAGGCAUGAAGAGGAAAUAAUAAUAUUUUUAAAGUGA